rnacentral:rRNA from 1 species
CUUUGGGAAGUCAAAAUGCCUCCUAGGAUUAAAGUCUUUAUGUGGUUGGUGCUUAGAAAUAGUGUCUUAUCUAAAGAUAACCUGGUCGGGAGAGGAUGGAGUGGUAGUAAAAAUUGUCCUUCUUGUGGCGAGGAUGAAUAUAUUGAUCAUCUUUUCAUGCAAUGCUCUAUCUUUAAAAUGUUCGAACAUUUUGAAGUUUACAUUCAAUUUGUAGUUUGUAUUAAAAGUUCAACAAACAUGAGAAACACCUUAUGA